CCAAGUGUCUUGCGGUCAAGGUGUUUAUGUCAGCAACAGGAAAGCAAACUGGACCAUAGCCAGACCCCUAAUGCCUUGAACUUUUGGGUGGUAGAAGUGAGCACCUUAUCUCUGUUUUAUUCUGGAAACAGCUGAAACCACUUCCUGUGGGAUCCACCCACUUUCUGGGUAUUCCCAGCCACACCCUCCCUUGUUUCCCAGGGCCCAGCUUUUCUCUGCAUCUCUGGUGUGACUUUCCACGUGCUGGGACAAUUCUUCCAGUUUCCUCACUAGCUGCACUGGGAGAGACUUGGGCUCAUCUCGUAUUUCUGGCUGCAUCGUGCCGCCACCAUUUGGGGACUUCUGCAGCUCUCUUACAGAGCCAUCUGCCCCCACGCUAGGCGGACAGUCUCCAGCUCUGGUAGCUGCUGGACUGAGGAGUCCUCCAGUUUGCAGUUUCCACCUGCAGUGGGGCUGAAUAUCCUGUUCCAGAAGCCCUUUGUCUACUUGGGCGCUUUAGUAUUCCUGUCUCCGAACCCAGCGGUGGGAGACAAGGGGACAUUCUCAGAGUCCCUUCUCAGGAGCACACUGGUCACUGACUGCAAGUAAACCUCAUGUGGAACUGUUUGGCCUGGUGUGGUCCUUCUGAAGCCGGGAGACAUUCAAGAUCAUAACAAUGAGUACUCAUGAAACCUGCAAUCCUGGAGCUCUCUGCAUCGCUUGUAUGCAGCUCAACAGGCCCCAGAGAUCUCCUCACUACAAUGAAGCUGGUAUGAGGCUUCUCCUUCACCAGGUACAGAGUGGGACUGGAGACCGGAAGCAGCGGGGACUCCCGCUAGGAUGUGUGUGGUGGUACUGAGAGAUGCGCGUCCCUCAGCGGCCUAUUUGUUUCCUGCUUUGCUUUGAUAAGUGGUAUCUGCGAUGACAGCGAGAGCACACAUAUAUCUAACUUUAAAAAGAUUCGAUUCUGCCCAUUAUGAUUUCCUCGCUGCUGGUAUUUUGAUGAAGAGGGAGACAGACAGUAACGCUUCCCCGAGAAAGAAACGGAUCUCAUCCUACCUCCUGUUGGUCUUCUGUGUCUGUGUUAGCCACUGUCAGCGGAAACCAGAGAAGACUAGGUCUUGCGUUAUGAGAGCCAGAGCCUAGGGCCUGACACAGUUCAUUCUUCAUCGUAGAACCCAGGUGACUCCUCCUUCCAGGACCCAUCAAAAUCUUAUCUUUAAUUCAUAAAGUGUAUAUUUGCUAAGCCUUGACUGUGUACCAGUAUGUGUAAUAAUCACUGGAUUCAACAUUGAGAGCACUGUCUCUCUCUUCCUUUCUCUUCUCUCUAGUGAAAACUGUUCUCUUGGCUCUUAAUUUAGUGGAAGAGAUAAAUCAAACAAAACAAAGUUGAUGUGUUCCGUAAUUGAGGAAACACAGCAGGUCUGUUGUAGUUCACGACGGAGACAAACCGCCUGGUUUUGGGGGUGUCGUAGAAGGAAGUGGUGCCAGGCGUGGUGGCGCAUGCCUUUAAUCCCAGCACUUGGGAGGCAGAGGCAGGGGGAUUUCUGAGUUCAGUUCGAGGCCAGCCUGGUCUACAAAGUGAGUUCCAGAACAGCCAGAGCUAUACAGAGAAACCCCGACUAAAAACAAAACAAAACAAAACAAAACAAAACAAAACAAAACAAAACAAAACAAACAAACAAAAAAGUAACGGUUAGACUAAAGGAGGAGGGUGCACAUGCCAAAUGCAUCCUGUAGGUGGCGCUGCACACACACACACACACACACACACACACACACACACACACACACACACUCGCCGUUAAUGCCUUGUUUGCUCUGAGUUAACUUUCCGUCUCAGGUGGCUUUGGGGUUUGCAAACCCUUUCCUAGCUGUGGCAUCCCCUCCCCCCCAGACAGAGACAGACAGACAGACAGACACACACACACACACACACACACACACACACACACACACACACACACAGAUACGGUUCAUGAUCUCAAGAAUGUGACAGGAAGACCCAGGUCUCUUUCAGGAACAGUACACACCAGAGUGAGACUACAGGGAAAGGCAAGAGGGGCAGAUGGCGGCCUUUGCCAUACAAACCUUUUGCACAUUGUUUUGGGUCAGUGGGAAGUCAAAGAAUGUGAAUUCAGAUAAAUGAGUGAGAUCUUUUAGAAAAGUCAUGCUGGUUGCGGAAUGGAGAAUGAGCUGGAAAGGAACAGAGGCUUGUGUGCUGGGUUGCUGGUGCUAGCAAGGAUGGUAGCCUGCAUGGUUCAAUACUUGUUUGUCUUUGGAAAUGGUUUUACUGGUUUUGUUUCCCUAGCACAGUGGGAGUGGCUCCACAAAAGCUUGCUGAGAGGACAUUAUUCUUGCCUUCUUUUUUAUCUUAUGUAUAUGGGUGUUUUGCCUGCACGUGUGUCUGUGCAUCAUGUGCAUGCAGUACACAAGAAUGCCAGAAGAGGGCGUCAGAUCUCCUGGAACUGGAGUUACAGACGGUUGUGAGUCACAAUUGUGGGUGCUGGGAAUCAAAUCAGGAUCCUCUGGAAAAGCAGCCAGUGCUCUUAACUGCGGAGCCAUCUCCCCAGCCC
rnacentral:lncRNA from 1 species